GAAGUACUUCCUCUGUCUCAAAAAUUUUGUCUUAAAUUUGUCUAGAAAUGUAUCUAGUCAUGUUUUGGUAUUUACCUACAUUCAUUUUUACACAAACCUAAGACAAGAAUUUUGGGACAGACAGAGUACGUG
rnacentral:pre_miRNA from 1 species